rnacentral:rRNA from 1 species
UACGUAGGGUGCAAGCGUUAUCCGGAAUUAUUGGGCAUAAAGAGCUCGUAGGCGGUUUGUCGCGUCUGCUGUGAAAUCCCGAGGCUCAACCUCGGGCCUGCAGUGGGUACGGGCAGACUAGAGUGCGGUAGGGGAGAUUGGAAUUCCUGGUGUAGCGGUGGAAUGCGCAGAUAUCAGGAGGAACACCGAUGGCGAAGGCAGGUCUCUGGGCAUUAACUGACGCUGAGGAGCGAAAGCAUGGGGAGCGAACAGG